rnacentral:rRNA from 1 species
GACGAACGCUGGCGGCGUGCCUAAUACAUGCAAGUCGAGCGAAGUUUUUCUGGUGCCUGCACUAGAAAAACUUAGCGGCGAACGGGUGAGUAACACGUAAAGAACCUGCCUCAUAGACGGGGACAACUAUUGGAAACGAUAGCUAAUACCGGAUAACAGCAUAAAUCGCAUGAUAUAUGUUUAAAAGUUGGUUUCGGCUAACACUAUGAGAUGGCUUUGCGGUGCAUUAGCUAGUUGGUGGGGUAAAGGCCUACCAAGGCGACGAUGCAUAGCCGACCUGAGAGGGUGAUCGGCCACACUGGGACUGAGACACGGCCCAGACUCCUACGGGAGGCAGCAGUAGGGAAUCUUCCGCAAUGGGCGAAAGCCUGACGGAGCAACGCCGCGUGAGUGAAGAAGGAUUUCGGUUCGUAAAGCUCUGUUGUUAGGGAAGAAUGAUUGUGUAGUAACUAUACACAGUAGAGACGGUACCUAACCAGAAAGCCACGGCUAACUACGUGCCAGCAGCCGCGGUAAUACGUAGGUGGCAAGCGUUGUCCGGAAUUAUUGGGCGUAAAGCGCGCGCAGGCGGUUUAAUAAGUCUGAUGUGAAAGCCCACGGCUCAACCGUGGAGGGUCAUUGGAAACUGUUAAACUUGAGUGCAGGAGAGAAAAGUGGAAUUCCUAGUGUAGCGGUGAAAUGCGUAGAGAUUAGGAGGAACACCAGUGGCGAAGGCGGCUUUUUGGCCUGUAACUGACACUGAGGCGCGAAAGCGUGGGGAGCAAACAGG